UGGAGUUACAGCUGUUGAAUUCAAGAGACAAAAUGUUCGGCAAGCUGUUCGUGAGCGCCGUUCUGCUGGCUAUUCUAGCCAUCCUGCCUGCCUCGGCAUCUCCUGGAUACUUCGGUGGCGGAGGCUUCGGUGGGCGCAGUGGAUAUGGAGGAGGUGGUGGAUACGGUGGUGGUGGAUUCGGAGGUGGUGGGUUCGGAGGUGGUGGAUAUGGGGGUGGUCGAGGAUUCGGCGGCAGACAUGGAUACGGUAAAUAAAAUCUUUGGACGAGCCAACUCCUCUCAACGCCGCAUGUCUCCUCUUAAUAAAGGGAAUGACGUCAUUUGGUUGAAUUCAGCGGUUGAAGAUGAAGGAUGGCAUGAACUGGGAACGGGACAUGUAUCACAUGUUCAUCAUUCUCUCUCGUCUUACAAGAUUAAAUAAAAUGUAUCAAUUA
rnacentral:misc_RNA from 1 species